GGUCAGUUGUCCCGGGUGCCUCCUGGAACUCCCACUCGUCAGAACUCCCGCCGGUCGGAGGGGGACUUAGGAGGCGGGUCGGGUCUGCAGCGCCGAGGGUCUGGGAAGGACAAGACCCGCCUGCUCCCGUCCAACGGCACCCAGUCGCAGCCUUAGCAACGGGUCGCUGGAGGAAGGAUCGCCUUGGCGACGGGGAUCGCCUUGGCGACGGGGCCCACAGAGAAAAACCACGGAGCCCCCCCUCUCCCCUCACCCCCCUCUUACAGAGAAAGACGGAGCGAUCGGCGAUCUGCAGCGGCCUGGCCGCGGACCGAGAUCGGGAGGUGACCCCUCCCCCCGAAUCAAGGACCCCACGGAAAUUCGGCGAUGGGGCGCUCUGACUCCCCGCCCCCAUCGCUGCUCGCUUGUGCAUCUGCAGGACACACUGGGGACCCCAUCCCCCGUCGUGGGGCGACUGCACUGUACUGCACCCCUCAAAGAGCAGGACGGCGCCAGAGACUGAAGACGGGAGAAAAGCCAAAUGAGCAGGGCCUGCUGACCUGCGCCCUCUGACCCCUGACCCCUGACCCCCAGCACCUCCAUGACUGAGGGGCGUCACACCCUGCCCCUGGAAGGCCGGGUGUCUUGGGGUCUGUCGUCAAUUAAGUCAUUAUUGCGUCAAUUGGGAUGAAUUCCUGCUCAAAGACAGGCCUGGAGACGAGGCGCCCCUUGCGCCCGGGCGAACGUCUCGCCUCUCUUCCCCGGGGGCGCGAGAGGAAGGCGCCAGCGUGGCGGCGCAGCGGAGCAGGAACUCGCGGGGCUGCCGGGCUCGGGCUGUGGGCAGAGCGCCCCCGGUGGCCACUCUGUGAGUCCAGUCCAGGCCCCCCGUCCUGCCCCGCGGCCCCGCCAGCAGGACGUCAUCCAGCUCCCCUGGGCUCGGGGGCCCCCUGGCUGCGCCCCUUCCCUGACCCGGGCUUCUGCCCCCGCUCCGCGGUCUUCAG
rnacentral:lncRNA from 1 species